rnacentral:rRNA from 1 species
UGGGGAAUUUUGGACAAUGGGGGGAACCCUGAUCCAGCCAUGCCGCGUGUCUGAAGAAGGCCUUCGGGUUGUAAAGGACUUUUGUCAGGGAAGAAAAGCUUUGGGUUAAUACCCUGGAGUGAUGACGGUACCUGAAGAAUAAGCACCGGCUAACUACGUGCCAGCAGCCGCGGUAAUACGUAGGGUGCGAGCGUUAAUCGGAAUUACUGGGCGUAAAGCGAGCGCAGACGGUUACUUAAGCAGGAUGUGAAAUCCCCGGGCUCAACCUGGGAACUGCGUUCUGAACUGGGUGACUAGAGUAUGUCAGAGGGGGGUAGAAUUCCACGUGUAGCAGUGAAAUGCGUAGAGAUGUGGAGGAAUACCGAUGGCGGAGGCAGCCCCCUGG